UAACGAAUCUUCCGCAAUGGGCGCAAGCCUGACGGAGCGACGCCGCGUGUAGGACGAAGUCCUUCGGGAUGUAAACUACUGUCAGGGGUUAGAAAGUUCUGAUCAACCCCAGAGGAAGGCACGGCUAACUCUGUGCCAGCAGCCGCGGUAAGACAGAGGUGCCAAGCGUUAGGCGGAAUCACUGGGCUUAAAGCGUGUGUAGGCGGGUCUCUAAGUGCCUUGUGAAAUCCCACGGCUCAACCGUGGAACUGCUGGGCAUACUGGAGGUCUUGAGCCACCUAGGGGCGAGCGGAACGAAUGGUGGAGCGGUGAAAUGCGUAGAUAUCAUUCGGAACGCCAAUGGUGAAAACAGCUCGCUGGGGGUGUGCUGACGCUGAGACACGAAAGCCAGGGGAUCAAACGGGAUUAGAUACCCCCGUAGUCC
rnacentral:rRNA from 1 species